GAUGAACGCUGGCGGCGUGCCUAAUACAUGCAAGUAGAACGCUGAAGGAAGGAGCUUGCUCUUUCCGGAUGAGUUGCGAACGGGUGAGUAACGCGUAGGUAACCUGCCUGGUAGCGGGGGAUAACUAUUGGAAACGAUAGCUAAUACCGCAUAACAGUAGAUGUUGCAUGAUAUCUACUUAAAAGGUGCAAUUGCACCACUACCAGAUGGACCUGCGUUGUAUUAGCUAGUUGGUGAGGUAACGGCUCACCAAGGCGACGAUACAUAGCCGACCUGAGAGGGUGAUCGGCCACACUGGGACUGAGACACGGCCCAGACUCCUACGGGAGGCAGCAGUAGGGAAUCUUCGGCAAUGGACGGAAGUCUGACCGAGCAACGCCGCGUGAGUGAAGAAGGUUUUCGGAUCGUAAAGCUCUGUUGUAGAGAAGAACGAGUGUGAGAGUGGAAAGUUCACACUGUGACGGUAUCUUACCAGAAAGGGACGGCUAACUACGUG
rnacentral:rRNA from 1 species